AAAGAGGUUCGGAAACUUCAAAAUGCUACUAACUCAAGGUCCAGUUGAUCACCCCACGGUUGUACUGUCGUGCAAUUUGAUUUGACUAGAAAGCUAUCAAACACAAUACAAAGACAACAAGAUUGGAUGGUGCGGAUGCGAGUUGAUGGAUGUGCGUGAGCGUUCCGAAGCGAUGACGAUGAUGGGGUGAUGAGUCUGCACGUGUCCCUGUCUGGCGACGGUAUUCGAGUACCGGCGCCUGAGCGCAGCCCAUUGGUCGAGACAAAAAAAAAAAUAUAAAUGAUAUACCUGUCUGCCUGCCGGAUGCCGAGAACCACGGAUGAUGAGGAGUGCAAGUGGAUGUUGCCGAUGAAUGAAGGCCAAGGCCGAAGCCUGUCCGAGGUGUUCCGGUGAUGCAAGUAUGCCUGAUAACGAGCCUGGGGCUUCUACCCGCGCGUGAUUGAGAAGUUGAACCUCAGGGAAAGGACGACUUCGAUGGACAGUGAUCGUGGCCAGUGAGAAAGAGGGAGAGAGAGAGAGGGAGAGAAAGGGAUGAACGGAAGAGGACACGAAAGAAUGAGAGACAUCAGAAUGCGACAGGGAGACCAAGAGAGACUGCGAAGCUGAAAGUCUGAGGAAUAAUUGAACGGGAGAAUGUUUCUUUCCAUGUUCAUUUUUUUUUUCAAAAAUGUAUGUAUGUAUGUAAGAGAGCAAGAGAGAACGAUAGUUAGAUAGAGUGUCGUAUAAAUAAAAUCGUUGUCACUAUGAAAGGACGUUCGAGUCUGGGUGAGAGUAAAUUAUGUUGAUUCGUUGCGAGCUUUAGCCGCCUAAAGCUCGUCAACGUUUAGCGUGUUAUGAUUUUCUCGAUUUCUCGUUUGAACGAUCGCAUCGCUCGUUGGAGAAAUCGAAGGAAUAAUGUCGUUUUGUCGAAUGGUUGUUGGCGUGAUUUGCAAUCAGGCGAAUAAACGAAAAUACUACUAAAUGGUUGUCGAGAUGCUGCUGCUGACUGUUGUAUGCCGAUGCAACCGAGUUUCGUGAGAAAGUGAGCUGUGCUCGAAAGAGAGAGAGAGAGAGAGAGAGAGAGAGAGAGAGAGAGAGAGAGAGAGAGAGAGGAUUGAAUAGAAAUGGAUGGUCGAGUGACUGCCAAAUGCUCGGAAAGGUCCGAUGAAACCUGGUGACCCCUGGUCCGAUCGUGCUGCGCGAGAAUUGAAAUGAAUCAGUUGUAGUAUGAUGAUGAGUAUGUUAUUUUUACCCGUAUGUGAAUGUCCGUUCCUGUUGAUUCAUUAAAAUUAAUAUUUUGCUGGCAUAA